UACGUAUGGGGCAAGCGUUAUCCGGAAUUACUGGGUGUAAAGGGAGCGUAGGCGGUACGGCAAGUCAGAAGUGAAAGCCUGGGCUCAACCCCGGAAUUGCUUUUGAAACUGUCGGACUAGAGUGUCGGAGGGGUAAGCGGAAUUCCUAGUGUAGCGGUGAAAUGCGUAGAUAUUAGGAGGAACACCGGUGGCGAAGGCGGCUUACUGGACGACCACUGACGCUGAGGCUCGAAAGCGUGGGGAGCAAACAGG
rnacentral:rRNA from 1 species